rnacentral:rRNA from 1 species
ACGCUCGACACCUACAGGAGGCAGCAGUGGGGAAUAUUGGGCAAUGGGCGAAAGCCUGACCCAGCAACGCCGCGUGAGGGAAGAAGGUUUUCGGAUUGUAAACCUCUGUCCUCAGGGACGAAGGACGUGACGGUACCUGAGGAGGAAGCCCCGGCUAACUACGUGCCAGCAGCCGCGGUAAUCUGAGCGGGCUGGCAAGGC